UUGGACCUGAUAUCAGACAAGACUACCCGUAACUAA
rnacentral:rRNA from 1 species